ensembl:lncRNA
GUGCGGGGCCCGCCUCUCCUCGGCCGGGGUGGAUGAAGUGAGGGGCUUGGACCGGGUGGCUCUGAGGUGCCCUCCUGGCCUUGACAGGCGUCGCUCAAGGCCGGGUCGCUAGCGACACAGAUCGGGCACAAAGCUUCUUUCCCGGGAGGCAGGUGUUGGGGGUCUCCAGAGGAAAACGGAGAAGAGGUCUAACAGCUCCCCCCAAGGGAGGCCUCACGGCCUGUUCUGGAAGCGCGGGUGGCAGCCAGUGUUCGGGGGCUCACCCCGGCCCGGCCCUCCGCCGCGUACCCGGGAUAGCGUUAGGUCCAGGAGUUCGCCGCCGCGCUCUUUGUUCCAUGCCCUAGGCUUUCCGGGUGGAGCACUUGCUGUAGAGCGGAGUAGCCUCCUUGCCCAGGACCAUAAAGCAGAAAGCAAGCAGCAACAACCCUUGGAGAGAGACUAAGUUUUCUUGACUUCUACAGUGACAGAGAGCUUGUGAAAGUUGGUAUUUCUGGCCUACGCUGCCAUCAUUCUACCACCCAGCCGAAGACGCCCCAGGCUGGACAUUAGUGCCUCCCUCUUUAUUUCUCUGUGAUCAUCCAGAUCAGCACCUGACUGUUUAUUUUCAAAUCUCACAAACCCAGCCCCCAGAUCUUCAUGUUCUGGUUCUCAGCUACUAUUGAAGGUCUCCAGCAGACAGUUCAUUCAUUCAGUAAAUAUGUGUUGAGGGACUGACAAUAUAGACAAUGAAAAGAGUCAGAGCCUCUGCCACCAUAGAGCUUACAUUCUGGUGGGAGAUAAAUACAACAAACAAACAUUUUGUACAUCAGAGUGUGGUAAGUGCUAUGGAAAAAAUUAAAGCAAGGAAGGGGGAUGGAGAGUGCUACUGUAUUGUAUGUUGGGGUUUUGCUGUUUUAUAUGGGAUAGUCAAGGUGACCUUCAAGCAGAGAUCUGAAAGAGUAAAGUAGUAAACCAUGUGGAUAUCUGGGUGAAUAGCAUCCCAAGGAGGGUGACCAGCAGGGACAAAGGCUCCGAGGUGGGAAUAUGCUUGAUAUGUUUGAAGAACAGCAAAGAGGCAUUUAUGGAGUCUUAGUGAUAAUCUUCCUGUUCUUAUUUAGAGUUAACUUUUUAGGGAGAGCCCUUACAAGGGUAGUCUCUGAUUUUUUUUUUUUUUUUAAUGAAAAUCUCCAACUAUACCCAAAAGUAGUAUAAGAAAUGCUUAUGUGCUCAUUCAUCACUUAGCUUCAUCAGUAGUCAUC